rnacentral:rRNA from 1 species
AGGACGAACGCUGGCGGCGUGCUUAACACAUGCAAGUCGAGCGGAAAGGCCCUUCGGGGUACUCGAGCGGCGAACGGGUGAGUAACACGUGAGUAACCUGCCCCUAGCUUCGGGAUAGCUCCGGGAAACCGGGAUUAAUACCAGAUACGACCACUUUAGACAUCUGUCGUGGUGGAAAGGAUUCCGGCUAGGGAUGGGCUCGCGGCCUAUCAGCUUGUUGGUGGGGUAACGGCCUACCAAGGCGACGACGGGUAG